UGGGGAAUAUUGGACAAUGGGCGCAAGCCUGAUCCAGCCGUGCCGCGUGAGUGAUGAAGGCCCUAGGGUUGUAAAGCUCUCUCGCCAGGGACGAUAAUGACGGUACCUGGAUAAGAAGCCCCGGCUAACUUCGUGCCAGCAGCCGCGGUAAUACGAAGGGGGCUAGCGUUGUUCGGAAUCACUGGGCGUAAAGCGCACGUAGGCGGAUCUUUAAGUCAGGGGUGAAAUCCCGAGGCUCAACCUCGGAACUGCCUUUGAUACUGGAGGUCUCGAGUCCGGGAGAGGUGAGUGGAACUGCGAGUGUAGAGGUGAAAUUCGUAGAUAUUCGCAAGAACACCAGUGGCGAAGGCGGCUCACUGCUGGUACUGACGCUGAGGUGCGAAAGCGUGGGGAGCAAAACAGGNAUUAGAUACCCUGGUAGCCCACGCCGUAAACUAUGGAUGCUAGCCGUUGGGCAGCUUGCUGUUCAGUGGCGCAGCUAACGCUUUAAGCAUCCCCGCCUGGGGAGUACGGUCGCAAGAUUAAAACUUAAAGGAAUUGACGGGGUCAUAGCUGUUUCCUG
rnacentral:rRNA from 1 species